AAAAGUUGCCAUUUCACUCGUGACUGUGAUAACUCUGUAUACAUUGGUUCAAGAUGAAUACAGUGAACAACUCGAUUAUGAAAGCCCUAGCCCAAGUGAUUAGCCUAGUCGUGAUUAGUGUGGUGGUGAUUAUUAUCCCACCGUGCGGGGCGGCACUUGGACGAAGAAAGGCUUAGCAAACAAGCCGGAAUCGCAAGAUAACCCCCGUACCCAAAAGUUCGGGGGUUUUUUUAUGCCGAAAGAAAAGGACAUAAGGAGCAGAGGAUGAGUCACAGAAUAAACUGCACUUCCCACAGCAA
rfam:Serratia sp. DD3 SRDD_contig000076, whole genome shotgun sequence.